UACGAAGGGGGCUAGCGUUGCUCGGAAUCACUGGGCGUAAAGCGCACGUAGGCGGAUUCUUAAGUCAGGGGUGAAAUCCUGGAGCUCAACUCCAGAACUGCCUUUGAUACUGAGGGUCUUGAGUUCGGGAGAGGUGAGUGGAACUGCGAGUGUAGAGGUGAAAUUCGUAGAUAUUCGGAAGAACACCAGUGGCGAAGGCGACACACUGGGCCAUUACUGACGCUGAGGCGCGAAAGCGUGGGGAGCAAACAGG
rnacentral:rRNA from 1 species